AAUCAACGCUGGCGGCGUGCCUCAGACAUGCAAGUCGAACGCGAAAGUUUCCUUCGGGAGAUGAGUAGAGUGGCGCACGGGUGAGUAACACGUGAGUAAUUUACCUUCGGUGGGGAAUACUAACCGGAAACGGUUGUUAAUACCGCAUAAUGCAGCGGCAUCAAUGAUGACAGUUGUUAAAGCGGGGGAUUGGAGCAAUCCGACCUCGCGCCUGAAGAGAAGCUCGCGGCAGAUUAGCUAGUUGGUAAGGUAAUGGCUUACCAAGGCGACGAUCUGUAACCGGCCUGAGGAGGGCGGGUCGGUCACACU
rnacentral:rRNA from 1 species